CCCGGGCCUUGUACACACCGCCCGUCACACCAUGGGAGUUGGUUCUACCCGAAGGUAGUGCGCUAACCACAAGGGGGCAGCUAACCACGGUAGGGUCAGCGACUGGGGUG
rnacentral:rRNA from 1 species